AUAUUAAAGAGGAAGCACAUCUUUAGUUUCCAGUAACUGGCAUUUGGUUACGGGGUGGCCGUUUUUCUGCGUGGACCAAGCAGGGUCCCAGUUCAAGUUUCUGCUGCGUAUCUGAUAAUCUUGAGGUAUUUAUGAAGGACUCCUUUGAAAGUUCUCUACUGAGUUUCCUUAAGGAAUUGGAAUAUAUUUAAUGACCUCCACCAUCUCUAAGAACAAGCAGCUAUUUCUGUAGAGAAAGAUCGUCUUUGGAUAACAAUACAUGAUUUUAGGCUCCAAAAGUUAAAACGUGUUUGUAAUGUUGAUAUUAUGCAGAGGUCUUGACAGAACUUGGCAGUCUCUGAGGCUACAGAGAAGUGUGAAAAAGAGCAUAGAGAUUUCAGAAGGAGGCAGAUUCAGUCAGACGUACUGAAUCCCGUUUGAUCUCAACUCAGGCACACUCCAGAUGGACGUACUGAACAGCACACUGGAGUUUUUGUCCAGAAGUUUGACUUUAGAAGAUAAGAAAUAACUGAGCGUACAAGCAGGAGUUAGAGGAAGAGACUCAGUACAGAAGAGACAGGAACAAAAGUUCACCUCCAUUCAAUGGGAAAGGAUACAGAUCAAGAGUUCAGGAAAAGUAGGAGAAAGAAGCUCUAUUCCAGAAGCAGUCUGGAGCACAAAGAAUCCCUAAUCACUGACAUUAAGAAAGAAGAAAAAUAUUCCUAGGACGAUCCUGGAGAGCAAAGGUCAUCAGCAGUCACUUGACUUUCCUUGGAUUUCUCAACUGCAAUAGUCACAUGGUCUGCUG
rnacentral:antisense_RNA from 1 species